AGUCGUAACAAGGUCUCCGUUGGUGAACCAGCGGAGGGAUCAUUACAGAGUUUACAACUCCCAAACCCUUAUGUGAACAUACCACGAUGUUGCUUCGGCGGACUCGCCCCGGCGUCCGGACGGCCUAGCGCCGCCCGCGGCCCGGAUCCAGGCGGCCGCCGGAGACCACCAAAACUAUUUUGUAUCAGCAGUUUUUUCUGAAUCCGCCGCAAGGCAAAACAAAUGAAUCAAAACUUUCAACAACGGAUCUCUUGGUUCUGGCAUCGAUGAAGAACGCAGCGAAAUGCGAUAAGUAAUGUGAAUUGCAGAAUUCAGUGAAUCAUCGAAUCUUUGAACGCACAUUGCGCCCGCCAGCAUUCUGGCGGGCAUGCCUGUUCGAGCGUCAUUUCAACCCUCGACUUCCCUUUGGGGAAAUCGGCGUUGGGGACUGGCAGCAUACCGCCGGCCCCGAAAUGGAGUGGCGGCCCGUCCGCGGCGACCUCUGCGUAGUAAUCCAACCUCGCACCGGAACCCCGACGUGGCCACGCCGUAAAACACCCCACUUUCUGAACGUUGACCUCGGAUCAGGUAGGAAUACCCGCUGAACUUAAGCAUAUCAAUAAGCGGAGGAAAAGAAACCAACAGGGAUUGCCCCAGUAACGGCGAGUGAAGCGGCAACAGCUCA
rnacentral:misc_RNA from 1 species